rnacentral:rRNA from 1 species
UGCCUUUCCAUCUGGAAGAAUCUGGAGACAGGUGCUGCAUGGCUGUCGUCAGCUCGUGUCGUGAGAUGUUGGGUUAAGUCCCGCAACGAGCGCAACCCUUGCCUUUAGUUGCCAGCAGUUCGGCUGGGCACUCUAAAGGGACUGCCGGUGUUAAACCGGAGGAAGGUGGGGAUGACGUCAAGUCCUCAUGGCCUUUAUGACCAGGGCUACACACGUACUACAAUGGCCGAUACAAAGGGCAGCGACACUGCGAGGUGAAGCCAAUCCCGUAAAAUCGGUCUCAGUCCGGAUUGGAGUCUGCAACUCGACUCCAUGAAGUUGGAAUCGCUAGUAAUCGUGGAUCAGCAUGCCACGGUGAAUACGUUCCCGGGCCUU